GAAGUCAAGAGAAAAAAAAAAUUAUAUCUUAGAAAGCAGAAUUAAAAAUACCAUUAAAACAAUUAAUGCCAAAGGAAAAUACCAUUUAAAAGCUACAUUUACAUCUGGAUUUUUUUUUUGAUGCUUUCUCUGAGGUUCUGUCAAGAAGUAAAUCAAUAAUAAUUACACACACAAAAUGACCAGCAGACUUGCAACUGAACCAUCAGGAUUUUCCCAUUCCUGAACUAUGCAGCCGUGUAAUCACAUUACUGUAACUCUUGUACCUCAUGUCUCGGCCUUGCUGUGCCUUCCAGCAUCGGGUCCGAGUGCACCACAGGCCGUUCCAACUGGGGGACUCUGGCUUCUACUUGCCUGGCUGGGCUUCCAGAAAAUUGCAUUUUGUCUCUGUGGCAGAGAACCCACGAGCUGGCCACUUUGCCAUCCCUGCUGCUUGCCAUCGGGAGCUCACUGAUGCUUGAUGUGCUGGGAGCCAUAUGGCCACUUCUCGCUGCUCUCCCUCUUGCUGCUCCCCCGAAAGUUGCAAGUGCAGAAGAGCCAGCUGCCAACACCAAGGACAAACAGGGGCUUUGUCCACGAGAGGGACGGUGAUGGGGACAAACCUUUGACUGUACCUCAGCUUCCCCUCAAGACAUUUUCCUCCCAGCUAUCUCUUGUCCUUAGAUUUUCUGUAAUAUGCAUAUGUUCCUCCCUUCUGUUUUGUUUUUUUUAAUAAUUUUUUUGUACAUCUCUUAUUGCUUAGUCUGUAAACUAAAGUUGCUAGUUAAUAUGCAGAUUAUUUGUAACUGCAAAUCAAUUCAUUUGAUAAUUGGCAUAAAAAUGUUACACAUGGAGCAGCACAAAACUUGGCAGCAGUAGGCAGGAGGUGGUUUCGGUGCCUAAUCCCCACCAGGCACAUGGGUUAAGGUGUUUACUUGCGCCAUUUGUGUGGGAAGGAGCAGCCUUGCCUGUUCAUGUGGAAACUCCUAAUUGCUUUCUUUGUUUUGACAGAUUUAUGGGUUACAACAAAACAUAAUUGCAAGUAACAUAACAAAGUAACACUCUCAUGAGCACCUGUAGUGUUGCUAUUAUAAAUAGAACUACUAAUGUACAGUGUUGGUUAUUGUAAAAGUACAUUCAGCUGAAGUUCUCAAUUUUUCUUGCUGUGCACAUUGUGCUCUUGGUCUUCCACUUAAGUUUGCAGGAGAAUUUCUCAGUCUUCAGCCCAGACAGGUAACAUCUGUUGCCUCACUUUUCUCAUCUGUUGUUCAACAUUGAAAUGGUUAAUAAUGUGCUAGAGGCAAGUGAGUACCUGGUAACCUGUUACUUGUCCUGAAGUUCCACUCUCAUGAUUGAAAUUAAUCCCUGGGUUUUUGGAGAAUGCUCUGCUUUGUGAGGAUGUCCUCUGCAAAAGGGUGUUGCACUGUAAGACAGAAUAAAGUAAAAUUGUGCCUGUGGCAGCUGAGGAAGUUACAUGUCUGCGUGCUCUGCAACACUCACAAAGAGAGCUUUGGAUCCUCUGAGGUGUUCCCUUAGCUGGUGUGACUGUUGAGGGGUGUCAGGUGGAUAAACAAGGGAAGGGACCAUGACCUAAGGUUGGAAGAGGUCAUGGAGAUUGGUAUUUAGACACUUCUGCUGUCUGCCUGCUUCACGUACUGACUUUUCUUUUGUGGUGGUUGACAAAUUAUCCUAUUUCUUUGAGUCUUGGUAUCUUUCUCUAUAAAUUGAAAAUGUUUCUGUAUUUAAGAAAAGACAUUUGCCUGGCAGAAUGCUGUAGGAACAAAGACUUUUGCAGGCACUGAAAAAGCUCCUCAUAUCAGGUAUGCUGAGGAUUUAGCAAAUACAUAUUACAUUUGUUCUAAAACUAUAUACAAAUAUAGCACCUCAAGUAACUGAUGAAUAGCUGUGCUUAUUAGAAAAAUAAAGAAAAAGAAAAUGAGCCUGUUCAAGAGAGCAAGCUGUUCUCUGAGUUACAACUAUCUAGUUCUGUCUUCACUGUACACUGCUCCGGGAAGGCUUUGCAAACCUGGCUUCUUCCUGGUCUGUUCUGCACACCUGAGCUGCAGAGUGGUCUGUGCACUCCCUGGUCUCCCACCGUCCCUGUCCCUGUGUAGCCCCCGUUGGGAGAGACAGAUAGAGGGGAUGUGAAACUGGGGUUCAAGCUUUUAGAGAUUAGAGAUGAAGUAGCAUUCCUUUGAAAAGACCUGGAUAAUGUCUGUGUUUGCAUUUAUAGUAUGUUACAGGAUUAUUUUCCAGAGGUCAGAUGUCAAGACUGGUUUGUGUACGGAGAAUAAGAGAGAAAUUUUGAUUAAGUCUGAUAAGGCUGGGCGUGGUGUUCCCCCCUUACACUAUUUUACAGAACCGUUUUUCCCUUUUAUUUUUUAACAUGUAGAUUCUUUUUAAUUCUCAUAGCUCUAUGCCAUUUUGCUUAAUAUCUCAUAAGAGCUAGCAAAGAUAUGUACAUGUUAGUAUGAUGAAAGCUACAUGUUUUAUACCCACGUUAAAAACUGAAUUAUGCUGGUAUUGAAAAUUGUCUGUUGAAAAUGCAAUGCAAACCCUGAAUAAAUUCUGCAGUUGCAAAUCAUA